UUAUAUGGUUCGAGAAUCGUGUAACCCCUUUGGUUUUGGUCUCCAUUGAUAAUGAUUUGACCAAACCCAAUCAAAAAUCCAAGGGACCAAAAGACUAAGCCGUUCAUAUUCUAUGGUUCGAAUCGUAACCGUUCUUUCAUUUUUGUUCAGAUCGUAAUCGUAACGAUAAAGCUCUAAAACCUCCAUCGUAACCCUAGAAGGCUAAAACCUCCUCCAUCUGUAACCCUAAAACUCUAAAACCUCCAUCGUAACCGUUCUUUCUUUUCGUUCAAGUUGGAAAAUUCAGUUCCUAAAACUCUAAACCGCCAUCGAUUGAUCUAAAAGGUUCGAAGGAGAGGGAGGAAACUCACGGCGGGAUGAUCAGGCGGCGGAGGAUCGCCUCUUACUCUCUUCUGCGGUGAUUCUUCCACAAGAUCCUGAUCCAUGGUAGAAUAGGAGAGCGAGCGAGCGAGAGAGAGCGUAACGAAGAAGCAAUUCGCUUUUUGAGAAGGAGAGAGAUGAAGAAGCAAUUAGUUGCGGAGAGAAAUGAAGUUGCAAUUUGGCUGGAGGCGUUUAUUAAUGAUCUGAUGCACAUGCUCUUUUUUUGAAUUUUGAGGCGGUUCCGUCUAGUACAAAGGAGUGUGGCUUUGGCUGUACCUGACCGGAUUUUGUAGGUAACUUUAAGGCAGAGGAGUGUGGCUUUGGCUGGACCUGACCGGAUAUUGUAGGUGACAAUGUAUGAAGCUGCAACACAAGUGCAGGUAGAAAGGAGACUCGAUCUUCUUGUUAAGAAAUCUUGGUUUUUUAGUCAGUUUACUCUUUUUAUGUUAUGUUCAUUUUGCCGAAACAGAGCAGACAUAAUCCUGAGCCGGUUUUUGAUCAGGCCUCUCUAAGAGACUCCUUCCUACUUGAGCCGGAUUUAUCGGAUUCGUUUGGUUUUUUUACUUGGUUUGCUCUUUUGUUUCUUUCCAGAAAUUUUGUCAUUGUAAUGUUGUUCAUGAUUCCUUGCUCCACCCUAAUAAAAUUGUUACCAUUCUUUUCCCUGCAA